rnacentral:rRNA from 1 species
GGGAUUGCCCCAGUAACGGCGAGUGAAGCGGCAACAGCUCAAAUUUGAAAUCUGGCCCUAGGCCCGAGUUGUAAUUUGCAGAGGAUGCUUUUGGUGACGCGCCUACCGAGUCCCCUGGAAUGGGGCGCCACAGAGGGUGAGAGCCCCGUAUGGUUUGACGCUGAGCCUCUGUAAAGCUCCUUCGACGAGUCGAGUAGUUUGGGAAUGCUGCUCUAAAUGGGAGGUAAAUUUCUUCUAAAGCUAAAUACCGGCCAGAGACCGAUAGCGCACAAGUAGAGUGAUCGAAAGAUGAAAAGCACUUUGAAAAGAGGGUUAAAUAGCACGUGAAAUUGUUGAAAGGGAAGCGCUUGUGACCAGACUUGCGCCGGGCGGAUCAUCCAGCGUUCUCGCUGGUGCACUCCGCCCGGCUCAGGCCAGCAUCGGUUUUCGCCGGGGGACAAAGGCUUCGGGAACGUGGCUCCCUUCGGGGAGUGUUAUAGCCCGUUGCGUAAUACCCCGGCGGGGACCGAGGACCGCGCUUCGGCAAGGAUGCUGGCGUAAUGGUCAUCAGCGACCCGUCUUGAAACACGGACCGAGGAGUCAAGCAUUAGUGCGAGUGUUUGGGUGUAAAACCCGCACGCGUAAUGAAAGUGAACGUAGGUGAGAGCUUCGGCGCAUCAUCGACCGAUCCUGAUGUUUUCGGAUGGAUUUGAGUAGGAGCAUUAACGCUUGGACCCGAAAGAUGGUGAACUAUACUUGAAUAGGGUGAAGCCAGAGGAAACUCUGGUGGAGGCUCGCAGCGGUUCUGACGUGCAAAUCGAUCGUCAAAUUUG